GGUGAGGUGGCCGAGCGGACUAUGGCGUUGGUCUUGAAAACCAAUGUGGGGAUUUUUCCUCACCGUGGGUUCGAAUCCCACCCUCACCG
rnacentral:tRNA from 2 species